rnacentral:rRNA from 1 species
UACGUAGGUGGCAAGCGUUGUCCGGAAUUACUGGGCGUAAAGAGCGCGUAGGCGGGAAUUUAAGUCAGGAGUGAAAACUGGCGGCUCAACCGCCAGCCUGCUCUUGAAACUGGAUUUCUUGAGGGUAUGAGAGGAAAGCGGAAUUCCCAGUGUAGCGGUGAAAUGCGUAGAUAUUGGGAGGAACACCAGUGGCGAAGGCGCUUUCUGGCAUACAGCUGACGCUG